CGCACAUUGCGCCCCUUGGUAUUCCGGGGGGCAUGCCUGUUCGAGCGUCAUUUCAACCCUCAAGCAAUGCUUGGUCUUGGGCUCUGCCGGGAACGGCUUGCCUUAAAAUUAGUGGCGGUGCCAUUGAGCUCUAUGCGUAGUAGUAUAAUUCUCGCAUUUGGGUCUCCGUGAGUGCUUGCCAGCAACCCUCAUUUUUUUUUGGUUGACCUCGGAUCAGGUAGGGAUACCCGCUGAACUUAA
rnacentral:misc_RNA from 1 species